rnacentral:rRNA from 1 species
GGUUCAUUCAAAUUUCUGCCCUAUCAACUUUCGAUGGUAAGGUAUUGGCUUACCAUGGUUUCAACGGGUAACGGGGAAUUAGGGUUCGAUUCCGGAGAGGGAGCCUGAGAAACGGCUACCACAUCCAAGGAAGGCAGCAGGCGCGCAAAUUACCCAAUCCCGACCGGGGAGGUAGUGACAAUAAAUACUGAUACAGGGCUCUUUUGGGUCUUGUAAUUGGAAUGAGUACAAUUUAAACCUCUUAACGAGGAACAAUUGGAGGGCAAGUCUGGUGCCAGCAGCCGCGGUAAUUCCAGCUCCAAUAGCGUAUAUUAAAGUUGUUGCAGUUAAAAAGCUCGUAGUCG